rnacentral:rRNA from 1 species
CCUACGGGAGGCAGCAGUGAGGAAUAUUGGUCAAUGGGCGAGAGCCUGAACCAGCCAAGUCGCGUGAAGGAUGAAGGAUCUAUGGUUUGUAAACUUCUUUUAUAUGGGAAUAAAGUGAGGAACGUGUUCCUUUUUGUAUGUACCAUAUGAAUAAGCAUCGGCUAACUCCGUGCCAGCAGCCGCGGUAAUACGGAGGAUGCGAGCGUUAUCCGGAUUUAUUUGGUUUAAUGGGUGCGUAGGCGGAAUAUCAAGUCAGCGGUAAAAAUUCGGGGCUCAACCCCAUCCAGCCGUUGAAACUGGGGAUCUAGAGUGUGCGAGAGGUAUGCGGAAUGCGUGGUGUAGCGGUGAAAUGCAUAGAUAUCACGCAGAACCCCGAUUGCGAAGGCAGCAUACCGGUGCACAACUGACGCUCAGGCACGAAAGCGUGGGUAUCGAACAGGAUUAGAUACCCGAGUAGUC